AUGUCGUGCGGCGCCCACACAGCACCCUACAGCUGGCUCUUCGUCCCUUCGCCGGCGGUGCAGCUCCCGCCGCCGUCGGGGCACCCGCGCUGCCGCCUCUCCGUCAGGGCCACAUGCGCUCCGACCUCCUCCAGCGUCCCCGCCGGUGGCGGCAGCGCGCGCCAGCAGACCCGGCCGCGCCUCGUAGCGGCGCACUCGAUACCUCCGCCGCCGCCCCCUACCGCCAGAACCGUCCGGAGGGACGCCGCGACGGGGCUCGCUUUCCUCCUCUUCGUGCUCGGCAUGGUGAUCAGCUCAGCUCUAUCACUAGUUAUCGUCUCAUUUCCAGCAUGGAGAGCUCUGCAGCAGAUGGAAAUCGCAGCUCGUAAAUUGUCGAAAUUAGCAGCACAAGAGGUACCCGGAACUAUAUCGUCACUGAAGCUGUCAUUCAUGGAGAUGAACGAUCUAACCAGCCAGCUAAAGAAAAUUAGGCACAUUUUCACAACAAAUAGAUCUGGGAAGGAUAGAUGA
rnacentral:rRNA from 1 species